GCAGGGUGUAAACGAAUAGAGUCGACGUAUUCUAAUUCGCAUUCAAUCAGUGUUUGUGGUCGCUGGUGAUUGGCGUGCUCCGCGUGCGGACGCGGUCAUUUCGGUGGUCGCGCCUCGUCCGGUCGGCGUGUCCGGUUGUCAGUGGGGCCGUGAGCGUUGGUGUAUUUUUGUGGAUUGUUGUGCGCUGGGACGUGUGCGCUGGUCGUUGGUGGCUUUGACACGAGGACGCUCGCUUUGCGGCAAGUGAAACCGGGUCUUUGUUGUUGGCGGUUCGGCGUGCGCGAAGGCGUCGGCUCGGUGACGCGUGGCGUUUUGUCAAUGCUGCGCUGUAUGGCGGUCGCAUGCGACACGUGUAUGGACGUGGUGUUGCGAGGCGUUGCGUUCCCGGGUUGGUGUCCCCGGUGUAAAAGUCGAUCAUCUAUUCGACCCGUCUUGAAACACGGACCAAGGAGUUUAACGUCUACGCGAGUCAUUGGGCGUGGAAAACCCAAAGGCGUAAUGAAAGUGAAUGUGUCCCUUGACGGCACUGAUAUGCGAUCCGCGUAGCCGCGGCUUCGCCGGAGCAGCAUAGCCCCGUUCUUGUCGCUUGCGAUGGGGCGGAGGUAGAGCGUAUGCGUUGAGACCCGAAAGAUGGUGAACUAUGCUUGAGCAGGACGAAGUCAGAGGAAACUCUGAUGGAAGUCCGAAUCGGUUCUGACGUG
rnacentral:rRNA from 1 species